AAGUCGUAACAAGGUUUCCGUAGGUGAACCUGCGGAAGGAUCAUUAUUGAGCCUUAGUGCUCUUAAUUUAAAAGUGGUUGUUUAGCUGCUUAAUUUAAAAAUAGCUGUUUAGCUAUAUUUUUACUCUGUGAAAACAUUAUACCAUUUGACUACUAGUGUAACAGCUUUUUUUACUUUAUUAAAUUAAAUAAAACAACUGUUAGCAACGGAUCACUUGGUUCUCACAUCG
rnacentral:misc_RNA from 1 species